GAUUAACGCUAGCGGCAGGCAUAAUACAUGCAAGUUGAACGAGAUUAGUUUUAGCAAUAGAACUAGUUUAGUGGCGCACGGGUGCGUAACGCGUAUGCAACCUACCUUAAACAGGGGAAUAGCCUCUCGAAAGAGAGAUUAAUACCGCAUAAUAUAUUUUUAGAGCAUUCUAGGAAUAUCAAACCUACGGGGGUUUAAGAUGGGCAUGCGUGACAUUAGCUAGUUGGUGAGGUAACGGCUCACCAAGGCAACGAUGUCUAGGGGGUCUGAGAGGAUGUCCCCCCACACUGGUACUGAGACACGGACCAGACUCCUACGGGAGGCAGCAGUAGGGAAUAUUGGUCAAUGGAGGCAACUCUGAACCAGCCAUGCCGCGUGCAGGACUAAGGCCCUAUGGGUCGUAAACUGCUUUUGAAUGGGAAGAAAUGUAUCUACGUGUAGAUAUUUGACGGUACCAUUAGAAUAAGGAUCGGCUAACUUCGUGCCAGCAGCCGCGGUAAUACGAAGGAUCCAAGCGUUGUCCGGAUUUACUGGGUUUAAAGGGUGCGUAGGCGGACUUAUAAGUCAGUGGUGAAAGCCUUCAGCUUAACUGAAGAACUGCCAUUGAAACUGUGAGUCUCGAGUUCGGUUGAGGUCAUUGGAAUGUAACAUGUAGCGGUGAAAUGCAUAGAUAUGUUACAGAACACCAAUUGCGAAGGCAGAUGACUAAACCGAAACUGACGCUGAGGCACGAAAGCGUGGGGAUCAAACA
rnacentral:rRNA from 1 species